AAUCUACAGAUUGGACUCUAAAAGGUUUGGUCUAACGCCGUGAUACUUGCAUAGGAUGAAAUGUAAUUAUUAUUAACUAUGGCUAAUACAUGUGCCAGCAGCCGCGGUAAUACAUGAGUAGUGAACGUUAAUCAUAGUGGUUGGGUGUAAAAAAUGCUACGACUAGUACCAAAUUUUCGGAAGUGAGAGCUAAUGCUAAUAAGGUAUGAGAAAAUUUGUAAAUUAUUUAUCCAUUUUUAAUUUUUAAAGAUAAAAUUUAAUAAGAAAUUAAAAAUGACCUAUAUAUGGAAAUAGAAUAAUUACAACUUUUGACGUUUUAGGCAUGAAAGUAUAGGUGGCGAUAAGGAUUAGAGACCCUUGUAGUCUAUACUGUAAAAGAUAAGUGCUUAUGGUGUAACAAC
rnacentral:rRNA from 1 species